rnacentral:rRNA from 1 species
GGGCCCGCACAAGCGGUGGAGCAUGUGGUUUAAUUCGAUGGUACGCGAGGAACCUUACCUAGGCUUAAAUGUAGAUUGACGUAUUGGGAAACCAGUAUUUCUUCGGACAAUUUACAAGGUGCUGCAUGGUUGUCGUCAGCUCGUGCUGUGAAGUGUCGGGUUAAGUCCCAUAACGAGCGCAACCCCUAUCAUUAGUUGCUAACAUUUAGUUGAGGACUCUAAUGAAACUGCCCGCGUAAGCGUGGAGGAAGGUGGGGAUGACGUCAAAUCAUCACGGCCCUUACGUCUAGGGCUACACACGUGCUACAAUGGUGAAUACAGAGGGAUGCCAACUGGUAACAGUGAGCAAAUCCACAAAAUUCAUCUCAGUUCGGAUUGAGGUCUGCAACUCGACCUCAUGAAGCUGGAAUCGCUAGUAAUCG